UACGAAGGGGGCUAGCGUUGCUCGGAAUCACUGGGCGUAAAGCGCACGUAGGCGGGUCCUUAAGUCGGGGGUGAAAUCCCGGAGCUCAACUCCGGAACUGCCUUCGAUACUGGGGACCUCGAGUCCGGGAGAGGUGAGUGGAACUGCGAGUGUAGAGGUGAAAUUCGUAGAUAUUCGCAAGAACACCAGUGGCGAAGGCGGCUCACU
rnacentral:rRNA from 1 species